UACGGAGGGGGCAAGCGUUGUUCGGAAUCAUUGGGCGUAAAGGGCGCGUAGGUGGUUCUGUAUGUCUAUCGUGAAAGCAUACAGCUCAACUGUAUUUUGUCGGUAGAAACUGCAGGACUUGAGGCUGGGAGGGGCUGGUGGAAUUCCCUGUGUAGCGGUGAGAUGCGUAGAGAUGGGGGAGAACACUCGUGGCGAAGGCGGCCAGCUGGACCAGUUCUGACACUGAGGCGCGACAGCGUGGGGAGCAAACAGG
rnacentral:rRNA from 1 species